rnacentral:rRNA from 1 species
CUAUGUUGGCCGGGCGACGGUUGUCCCGGUUUAAGCGUGUAGGCUGGUUUUCCAGGCAAAUCCGGAAAAUCAAGGCUGAGGCGUGAUGACGAGGCACUACGGUGCUGAAGCAACAAAUGCCCUGCUUCCAGGAAAAGCCUCUAAGCAUCAGGUAACAUCAAAUCGUACCCCAAACCGACACAGGUGGUCAGGUAGAGAAUACCAAGGCGCUUGAGAGAACUCGGGUGAAGGAACUAGGCAAAAUGGUGCCGUAACUUCGGGAGAAGGCACGCUGAUAUGUAGGUGAAGUCCCUCGCGGAUGGAGCUGAAAUCAGUCGAAGAUACCAGCUGGCUGCAACUGUUUAUUAAAAACACAGCACUGUGCAAACACGAAAGUGGACGUAUACGGUGUGACGCCUGCCCGGUGCCGGAAGGUUAAUUGAUGGGGUCAGCGCAAGCGAAGCUCUUGAUCGAAGCCCCGGUAAACGGCGGCCGUAACUAUAACGGUCCUAAGGUAGCGAAAUUCCUUGUCGGGUAAGUUCCGACCUGCACGAAUGGCGUAAUGAUGGCCAGGCUGUCUCCACCCGAGACUCAGUGAAAUUGAACUCGCUGUGAAGAUGCAGUGUACCCGCGGCAAGACGGAAAGACCCCGUGAACCUUUACUAUAGCUUGACACUGAACAUUGAGCCUUGAUGUGUAGGAUAGGUGGGAGGCUUUGAAGUGUGGACGCCAGUCUGCAUGGAGCCGACCUUGAAAUACCACCCUUUAAUGUUUGAUGUUCUAACGUGGACCCGUGAUCCGGGUUGCGGACAGUGUCUGGUGGGUAGUUUGACUGGGGCGGUCUCCUCCUAAAGAGUAACGGAGGAGCACGAAGGUUGGCUAAUCCUGGUCGGACAUCAGGAGGUUAGUGCAAUGGCAUAAGCCAGCUUGACUGCGAGCGUGACGGCGCGAGCAGGUGCGAAAGCAGGUCAUAGUGAUCCGGUGGUUCUGAAUGGAAGGGCCAUCGCUCAACGGAUAAAAGGUACUCCGGGGAUAACAGGCUGAUACCGCCCAAGAGUUCAUAUCGACGGCGGUGUUUGGCACCUCGAUGUCGGCUCAUCACAUCCUGGGGCUGAAGUAGGUCCCAAGGGUAUGGCUGUUCGCCAUUUAAAGUGGUACGCGAGCUGGGUUUAGAACGUCGUGAGACAGUUCGGUCCCUAUCUGCCGUGGGCGCUGGAGAACUGAGGGGGGCUGCUCCUAGUACGAGAGGACCGGAGUGGACGCAUCACUGGUGUUCGGGUUGUCAUGCCAAUGGCACUGCCCGGUAGCUAAAUGCGGAAGAGAUAAGUGCUGAAAGCAUCUAAGCACGAAACUUGCCCCGAGAUGAGUUCUCCCUGACCCUUUAAGGGUCCUGAAGGAACGUUGAAGACGACGACGUUGAUAGGCCGGGUGUGUAAGCGCAGCGAUGCGUUGAGCUAACCGGUACUAAUGAACCGUGAGGCUUAACCUUACAACGCCGAAGGUGUUU